rnacentral:rRNA from 1 species
GAUGAACGCUGGCGGCGUGCUUAACACAUGCAAGUCGAACGAUGAAGCCCAGCUUGCUGGGUGGAUUAGUGGCGAACGGGUGAGUAACACGUGAGUAACCUGCCCUUAACUCUGGGAUAAGCCUGGGAGACUGGGUCUAAUACCGGAUAGGAGCGUCCACCGCAUGGUGGGUGUUGGAAAGCUUUAGCGGUUUUGGAUGGACUUGCGGCCUAUCAGCUUGUUGGUGUGGGAAUGGCUCACCAAGGCGACGACGGGUAGCCGGCCUGAGAGGGUGACCAGCCACACGGGGACUGAGACACGGCCCAGACUCCUACGGGAGGCAGCAGUGGGGAAUAUUGCACAAUGGGCGCAAGCCUGAUGCAGCGACGCCGCGUGAGGGAUGACGGCCUUCGGGUUGUAAACCUCUUUCAGUAGGGAAGAAGCGAAAGUGACGGUACCUGCAGAAGAAGCACCGGCUAACUACGUG